CGGAGGGUGCAAGCGUUAUCCGGAUUUACUGGGUUUAAAGGGUGCGCAGGCGGAUAUGUAAGUCAGUGGUGAAAUCUCCGGGCUUAACCCGGAAAUUGCCGUUGAUACUAUAUAUCUUGAAUGCUGUGGAGGUAAGCAGAAUAUGUCAUGUAGCGGUGAAAUGCUUAGAUAUGACAUAGAAUACCUAUUGCGAAGGCAGCUUACUACGCAGAUAUUGACGCUCAUGCACGAAAGCGUGGGGAUCAAACAGGAUUAGGUACCCUGGUAGUCCACGCCCUAAACGAUGAUUACUCGACAUACGCGAUACACAGUGUGUGUCUGAGCGAAAGCAUUAAGUAAUCCACCUGGGAAGUACGAUCGCAAGAUUG
rnacentral:rRNA from 1 species